rnacentral:rRNA from 1 species
AGCGUACACGGUGGAUGCCCUGGCAGUCAGAGGCGAUGAAGGACGUGCUAAUCUGCGAUAAGCGUCGGUAAGGUGAUAUGAACCGUUAUAACCGGCGAUUUCCGAAUGGGGAAACCCAGUGUGUUUCGACACACUAUCAUUAACUGAAUCCAUAGGUUAAUGAGGCGAACCGGGGGAACUGAAACAUCUAAGUACCCCGAGGAAAAGAAAUCAACCGAGAUUCCCCCAGUAGCGGCGAGCGAACGGGGAGCAGCCCAGAGCCUGAAUCAGUAUGUGUGUUAGUGGAAGCGUCUGGAAAGGCGCGCGAUACAGGGUGACAGCCCCGUACACAAAAAUGCACAUGCUGUGAGCUCGAUGAGUAGGGCGGGACACGUGGUAUCCUGUCUGAAUAUGGGGGGACCAUCCUCCAAGGCUAAAUACUCCUGACUGACCGAUAGUGAACCAGUACCGUGAGGGAAAGGCGAAAAGAACCCCGGCGAGGGGAGUGAAAAAGAACCUGAAACCGUGUACGUACAAGCAGUGGGAGCACGCUUAGGCGUGUGACUGCGUACCUUUUGUAUAAUGGGUCAGCGACUUAUAUUCUGUAGCAAGGUUAACCGAAUAGGGGAGCCGAAGGGAAACCGAGUCUUAACUGGGCGUUAAGUUGCAGGGUAUAGACCCGAAACCCGGUGAUCUAGCCAUGGGCAGGUUGAAGGUUGGGUAACACUAACUGGAGGACCGAACCGACUAAUGUUGAAAAAUUAGCGGAUGACUUGUGGCUGGGGGUGAAAGGCCAAUCAAACCGGGAGAUAGCUGGUUCUCCCCGAAAGCUAUUUAGGUAGCGCCUCGUGAAUUCAUCUCCGGGGGUAGAGCACUGUUUCGGCAAGGGGGUCAUCCCGACUUACCAACCCGAUGCAAACUGCGAAUACCGGAGAAUGUUAUCACGGGAGACACACGGCGGGUGCUAACGUCCGUCGUGAAGAGGGAAACAACCCAGACCGCCAGCUAAGGUCCCAAAGUCAUGGUUAAGUGGGAAACGAUGUGGGAAGGCCCAGACAGCCAGGAUGUUGGCUUAGAAGCAGCCAUCAUUUAAAGAAAGCGUAAUAGCUCACUGGUCGAGUCGGCCUGCGCGGAAGAUGUAACGGGGCUAAACCAUGCACCGAAGCUGCGGCAGCGACGCUGAUGCGUUGUUGGGUAGGGGAGCGUUCUGUAAGCCUGUGAAGGUGUGCUGUGAGGCAUGCUGGAGGUAUCAGAAGUGCGAAUGCUGACAUAAGUAACGAUAAAGCGGGUGAAAAGCCCGCUCGCCGGAAGACCAAGGGUUCCUGUCCAACGUUAAUCGGGGCAGGGUGAGUCGACCCCUAAGGCGAGGCCGAAAGGCGUAGUCGAUGGGAAACAGGUUAAUAUUCCUGUACUUGGUGUUACUGCGAAGGGGGGACGGAGAAGGCUAUGUUGGCCGGGCGACGGUUGUCCCGGUUUAAGCGUGUAGGCUGGUUUUCCAGGCAAAUCCGGAAAAUCAAGGCUGAGGCGUGAUGACGAGGCACUACGGUGCUGAAGCAACAAAUGCCCUGCUUCCAGGAAAAGCCUCUAAGCAUCAGGUAACAUCAAAUCGUACCCCAAACCGACACAGGUGGUCAGGUAGAGAAUACCAAGGCGCUUGAGAGAACUCGGGUGAAGGAACUAGGCAAAAUGGUGCCGUAACUUCGGGAGAAGGCACGCUGAUAUGUAGGUGAAGUCCCUCGCGGAUGGAGCUGAAAUCAGUCGAAGAUACCAGCUGGCUGCAACUGUUUAUUAAAAACACAGCACUGUGCAAACACGAAAGUGGACGUAUACGGUGUGACGCCUGCCCGGUGCCGGAAGGUUAAUUGAUGGGGUUAGCGCAAGCGAAGCUCUUGAUCGAAGCCCCGGUAAACGGCGGCCGUAACUAUAACGGUCCUAAGGUAGCGAAAUUCCUUGUCGGGUAAGUUCCGACCUGCACGAAUGGCGUAAUGAUGGCCAGGCUGUCUCCACCCGAGACUCAGUGAAAUUGAACUCGCUGUGAAGAUGCAGUGUACCCGCGGCAAGACGGAAAGACCCCGUGAACCUUUACUAUAGCUUGACACUGAACAUUGAGCCUUGAUGUGUAGGAUAGGUGGGAGGCUUUGAAGUGUGGACGCCAGUCUGCAUGGAGCCGACCUUGAAAUACCACCCUUUAAUGUUUGAUGUUCUAACGUUGACCCGUAAUCCGGGUUGCGGACAGUGUCUGGUGGGUAGUUUGACUGGGGCGGUCUCCUCCUAAAGAGUAACGGAGGAGCACGAAGGUUGGCUAAUCCUGGUCGGACAUCAGGAGGUUAGUGCAAUGGCAUAAGCCAGCUUGACUGCGAGCGUGACGGCGCGAGCAGGUGCGAAAGCAGGUCAUAGUGAUCCGGUGGUUCUGAAUGGAAGGGCCAUCGCUCAACGGAUAAAAGGUACUCCGGGGAUAACAGGCUGAUACCGCCCAAGAGUUCAUAUCGACGGCGGUGUUUGGCACCUCGAUGUCGGCUCAUCACAUCCUGGGGCUGAAGUAGGUCCCAAGGGUAUGGCUGUUCGCCAUUUAAAGUGGUACGCGAGCUGGGUUUAGAACGUCGUGAGACAGUUCGGUCCCUAUCUGCCGUGGGCGCUGGAGAACUGAGGGGGGCUGCUCCUAGUACGAGAGGACCGGAGUGGACGCAUCACUGGUGUUCGGGUUGUCAUGCCAAUGGCACUGCCCGGUAGCUAAAUGCGGAAGAGAUAAGUGCUGAAAGCAUCUAAGCACGAAACUUGCCCCGAGAUGAGUUCUCCCUGACUCCUUGA